CUGCAUUAGCACGCUGAAGAAGUAAACAGCGUUGAUAAUGGCUGAAAAUGGCUGACAGUGGUAACCAAGACAAUAUUCUAGUUUUUCUUUUGCUAACAAAGCUAUCAGUAUACCAGAACCAACACGUUUAACACACUGCAAACACUUGGAGAGAAGAAGACUGAGCAGGAAAUAAAACGAGAGUAAAUAUCAGCGCAGCAUGCUAUCUGAGGAGGCCUGGGAGCUGAAAAGUUUAAUUUCAGAUGCGUGGCUGACUAUUUCACUCCUGGAUAGGACAGGUGGUGAUCUUCAGAAGGAGCAAUGGUGGGGUGCACUUCCAGCUUUGGAACUGUAUGAAACCAUGGGUGGGAUUAAACUCCUGAAGAUGUACACCCACCUCCAGACCAUGUCCCAGUCUGCUGCACUGAAGAUCUAAAUGGACAAGCAAACAUUGUUUAUUUCAACUGUCUCAAACAGCUAGCUGAGUACAAGAUCUUAUGCACAAAAAGGCUAUUUAUUUUAUCUAAUAAAAUAUUAUAUUAUAUUUA